rnacentral:rRNA from 1 species
UGGGCGAAAGCCUGAUGCAGCAACGCCGCGUGUGCGAAGAAGGCCUUCGGGUCGUAAAGCACUUUUCUGGGAGAUGAGAAAGGACAGUAUCCCAGGAAUAAGUCUCGGCUAACUACGUGCCAGCAGCCGCGGUAAAACGUAGGAGGCGAGCGUUAUCCGGAUUCACUGGGCGUAAAGCGCGUGCAGGCGGUUUGGUAAGUUGGGCGUGAAAGCUCCCGGCUCAACUGGGAGAGGUCGUACCAAAACUACCAGACUAGAGAGCGAUAGAGGAAAAUGGAAUUCCCGGUGUAGUGGUGAAAUGCGUAGAUAUCGGGAGGAACACCAGUGGCGAAGGCGAUUUUCUGGAUCGUUUCUGACGCUCAGACGCGAAAGCUAGGGUAGCAAACGGGAUUAGAGACCCCGGUAGUCCUAGCUGUAAACGAUGUGAACUUGGCGUUGGUGGCUUAAACACCAUCAGUGCCGAAGCUAACGCGAUAAGUUCACCGCCUGGGGACUACGGCCGCAAGGUUA